AGCCUCUCAGCAGCAGAUUGCUUUCACCUCUGAAGGGACGCAGCAUACAUUUACGUCUGAGGUACCUGAACAACCUUGCUCAACUGCACACAGUCUUUUCAGGAAGGUCUUCGUGGACAAUAUGUCCAUGCAGCUGUGUCAUCUCCUAUAAUAACACCACCUCCUGCUGGAAUACCUCCUGAAGAACCUGCUUGAGGCUGUUUAAAAUGGUUAACUUUUUUUAUUUUUAAUAUAUAUGUAGAAGCAGACUCUAAAAUAAUGACAAAAGUAUGGUGUAGUAAAUGCAUAAACCAGAAACAUGGUCAUUUAUUAUCAGUAUUAAGUAUUAUGUACUGUAUAAAAUUGUACUGCUAUACUUUUAUACUACUACUAACACAGUAGGUUUGUUUACACCAGCAUCACCACAAACACAUAAGUAAUGCAUUGGGCUAGGACAUUAAGAUAGCUUGUCACCUAUUCUAUCAAUAUGUGAUAAAAAUUUUUCAGUUCCAUUUUAAUCUUAUGGAACCACUGCUGUCUAUGCGGCCUGUCGUUGACCCAAAUGUCAUUAUGUAGUGCAUAACUGUACUAAUACUAAGAAAAACUGAGUGUUUGUAUUUUAGAGUUAAGCACUGAUACGUUUACAAAUAAAAUAAUAUCUGACGUUUGUUUCAAAGGAAUCUGGAUAAGAGGAUAUGGUAAGAACAUAUAUGAAGUAAGAUUGACCAUGGGUUAAUAAUGUUUGAAGCUAAGUGGUAAAUAAUCUUUGUCCCAACCUUUGUGCAUAGUGGUUCUCAAAGAUGAUCCCUGCACUGGCAGCAACAGGAUCAUUUGAGAUCUUGUUUGAAAAGCAAACUCUGAGGAAACCACAUAUUUUGUAACCAAAACUCUGCACAUGAGGCCCAUUAGCCUGUGGUUUCACAAGCCCUUUAGGUAAUUUUGAUCCAAGCUAAUGUUUCUGAAUCACUGCUCCAGUAUAAAUAACAUAGAAUAUUGCAUGUAUUUGUAGAGACAUGACAUUUGUAUAUUUUUAAGUUAUCCAUAAUACAACGAAAAAUAAUGAAAACACCCAGGACAAAUGUUUCACUGGAAAAAUUUGAAUAAAGUUUGCAGACAUAAUUCUAAUCUUAAACACUUCCAAAAGACAGAAAAGGAUCUAUUCCCCAACCCAGUCUGAGAGUAGAAAAUCUUAGCCCUGGAAGUGAACAAAGAGUAUGAAAGAACUAUUAAAGCCAGUCUCACUUAUGAACAAAAGAUCCAGUAAUCUUAAGAAGUUAAGUAAAUCUAGCAUUAUGUAAAAAUAAUAAAAAUACAUCAGAACGAAGUUGUAUUUAUCCUAGAAAAUGAAAGUUGAUUUAACAUUAGAAACACUUUAAAAAGCAGGGAGGAUUAAAGGAGUUUGUUUAUUCUUAAUAUAUUCUGUUUGUUUAUUUCAGUGUUUUUAUAUGAGUAUCCUUAAAUUUUUAAACUGUGUUAAGAUGCAUGCUUAUACUUGUUUUACUUUUCUGACUGGAAGAUAAACC
rnacentral:lncRNA from 1 species